CCUACGGGAUGCUGCAGUGAGGAAUAUUGGUCAAUGGGCGCGAGCCUGAACCAGCAAAGUAGCGUGAAGGAUGACUGCCCUACGGGUUGUAAACUUCUUUUAUAAAGGAAUAAAGUGAGGCACGUGUGCCUUAUUGUAUGUAAUUUAUGAAUAAGGAUCGGCUAAUUCCGUGCCAGCAGCCGCGGUAAUACGGAGGAUCCGAGCGUUAUCCGGAUUUAUUGGGUUUAAAGGGAGCGUAGAUGGGUUGUUAAGUCAGUUGUGAAAGUUUGCGGCUCAACCGUAAAAUUGCAAUUGAUACUGGCAGUCUUGAGUACAGUUGAGGUAGGCGGAAUUCGUGGUGUAGCGGUGAAAUGCUUAGAUAUCACGAAGAACUCCGAUUGCGAAGGCAGCUUACUAAACUGCCACUGACAUUGAUGCUCGAAAGUGUGGGUAUCAAACAGGAUUAGAUACCCGAGUAGUC
rnacentral:rRNA from 1 species